UGUAGAAAACGUGUCACAAAACCUAUAUAGGGGUGGUGAUGUCGAGCAGGCAUGUCAUAUGAGAAAAAUUUCACAAGUGAAAUAUAUAUGACUAUUUAUAUGGAGUGUCAUGCCGGCAUAAGUCAUAUAUAAAUAAUAUAUGAAAAUAAUCAUAUAGAAGGCAAUAUGAUUAAAAAAGUUAAAAAUAAUGAAGUUUUACUGUUGCAUUAUUAAAUUAGUGCAACAUAAAGAUACAUUAG